rnacentral:lncRNA from 1 species
AAAUUCUGCAAUGUAUCUUUCGUUGUAGAGAUGAAAACUUUAUGACGAAAAGUUUAUGCAGCAAUAUAGGAACAAAUUUUUUUAUUUUUUUUUGGAUUUUCGGAUAGGGAUAACUAAAUUGCAGCGACAGUAAGGUAGGAAACCAGAACCUUUUGCAAUUCACAGGAUGAUCCGCGGUGGUGGAGAUGAUGGCAGAAUUUGGCGACGAUCUUUUA